UCCAAAUCGUAGUUAUUCUAUUCGUUCACUAAUUUGGUAUGAUCUUAAUCUAGGAGGAUUAUCACUGUAUAAUAUGAGAUCCCCACGUUUAGCAGUGAUAAAAGUCUGACGUUGAAUGGUUCUUUUCAGAAGUACAAUUGUAAGAUCUAUGAUUAUAGCUUCGAACUUUAACAGGACAGUACUAACUGGACAUAUAAUUGAUUAUUUAUGCACAACAAGAUAUUCUGUUGUUUUUUGUUCUUCAAUCAGAUUUAUCUAGCCCUUUCUUGACUUUCUAAUUGCUCCACCCUCUACCUCUGAAACUCAGA
rnacentral:lncRNA from 1 species